GGUCCUAUAGUUCAAUGGAUAGAAUGUAAGAUUCCGGUUCUUAUGAUCUGGGUUCGAGUCCCGGUAGGAUCACCA
rnacentral:tRNA from 1 species